GUGUGGCUCUGUGACAGGGUCCAACAGGGCCUGGUCUGUGUCCGGCCCCCCAAAUCUGUCGUCCCUGCCCCCAGGGGACUGACUUCAAAGAAGGAAGGAAAGAAUCAGGCAGUGCUUCCUCAUUCUCUUUUAAAACCCACUUCCCGCUGAGUCUGCACCCAGGAGACCAGAGAGCACCUUGCCCUUCCAUGGAAACUCAGGCCGAUCUCGUAUCUCAGGAACCUCAGGCCCUGCUUGACAGUGCUCUUCCUUCAAAAGUUCCUGCCUUUUCCGACAAGGACAGCCUGGGGGAUGAGAUGUUGGCGGCUGCACUCCUAAAGGCCAAGUCCCAGGUGAGCUGUGGUUCCCUUCAUCCUUUUCAAUUUUCUGUGCAAUGACAUCCCAUUCAGAGCUUUAAACCCUGAUCUCCUCCAUCAGGCCCAUGGUUCUGUCCUGCCGAAUCAUGGACCCUCACCUUCCAUCUUGGACUCCUGUCUCUCUUCCUCCACCCUGUCCUCCUUUCCUCCCUUCCCAAAUGUGCAUUUUUCACCCCAUCCUCAGUGAUUUUUUUGGUGCCG
rnacentral:sRNA from 1 species